UUAUUAUAAAAAUUUUCCUAUUAAUAUAAUUUUUACCUUUUGCAUAAUGGUUUAACUAAAAAUAAAUAAAAUUAUUUUUCUCGAAAUUAAAAGAUCUAUUUAAUUUUAAUAAAUAUUGUUUUAAAAAUAUUUUUGAAAUAUUAAAUAGGUGUGAAAGGCUUAUCAAUUUUAAUAAUAUCUAGAUAAAUUUUAAAUAUAUUUAGUGUAAAAAUAAUUUAAAUUAUAAAAAUGUUAAGAUUUUUAUAAAUGAGAAAUUUUUUAAUUAAAAAUUUAAAAAUUUAUAAAUUAUUAAUUAUUAAUAAAUUGCUUAUUAUUAAUUCUCUUUAAUAAAAUUUUAGAAAUUAUAAUUUAUAAAUUUCUUGAUAAUGUUAAAAUAAGUAUACUCUCUAAAUUUAUUAAAAGGAACUCGGCAAAAAUUUUAUUCAACUGUUUAUCAAAAACAUAGUUUUAUGAAUUAAAUAUAAAAUAUAUUCUGCCCGGUGAAAUUUAAACGGCCGCAGUACUUUGACUGUGCUAAGGUAGCAUAAUAAAUUGGCUUUUAAUUGGAGUCUGGAAUCAAUGGAACCAUGGAUAAAUUCUGUCUUUUAUUAACUUUAUAAAAUUUACUAAUAAGGUGAAAAUUCCUUAAUAAUUAAAUUAGACGAGAAGACCCUAGGAGUUUUAAUUUUGUUGGGGCGACAUAACAGCAAAAUAACCUGUUAAAUUUAUAAUUAUUAAACAAAUUUUAUUAAUUUAAAUUAAGCUACCCUAGGGAUAACAGCAUAAUUUUUAAUAAAGUUUGUGACCUCGAUGUUGGACUAGGA
rnacentral:rRNA from 1 species